UACGGAGGGGGCAAGCGUUGUUCGGAAUUACUGGGCGUAAAGGGCGCGUAGGCGGCCUGCUAAGUCGAACGUGAAAUCCCUGGGCUCAACCCAGGAACUGCGUCCGAUACUGGUUGGCUUGAAUCCGGGAGAGGGACGUGGAAUUCCAGGUGUAGCGGUGAAAUGCGUAGAUAUCUGGAGGAACACCGGUGGCGAAGGCGACGUCCUGGACCGGCAUUGACGCUGAGGCGCGAAAGCCAGGGGAGCAAACGGG
rnacentral:rRNA from 1 species